rnacentral:tRNA from 1 species
GCUGGAUUAGCUCAAUGGCGGAGCAGACGACUCAUAAUCGUUUGGUUGUAGGUUCGAGUCCUACAUCCAGCACCA